rnacentral:rRNA from 1 species
GUACGCUGGCGGCACGCCUAAUACAUGCAAGUCGAACGAAGUAGCAAUACUUAGUGGCAGACGGGUGAGUAAUAUGUAGGUAUCUUCCCAUUGGUGAGGAAUAACACGAGGAAACUUGUGCUAAUACCUCAUAAGUCUUUACGGAGAAAGCUUUAUGCGCCGAUGGAUGAGCCUGCACUUGAUUAGUUUGUUGGUAGGGUAAUGGCCUACCAAGACAAUGAUCAAUAGCUGAUUUGAGAGGAUGAUCAGCCACAUUGGGACUGAGACACGGCCCAAACUCCUACGGGAGGCAGCAGUAGGGAAUCUUGCACAAUGGGGGAAACCCUGAUGCAGCGAUGCCGCGUGAGUGAAGAAGGCCCUUGGGUUGUAAAGCUCUUUCAGAAGUGAAGAUGA